rnacentral:rRNA from 1 species
GCUCAUAGCCAUACCACCUUGAACACGUCAGAUCUCGCCUGAUCUCGGAAGCUAAGCAGCGUCGGGCCUGGUUAGCACUUGGAUGGGAAGAACCCGAUUCUCCUCACUGAGACCUUGUGAUGAUCC